AUGGUCUUAGUGGUCUGUUCCAACCUUAAAGAUUCCAUGAUUCUACUUGGAGAAAUUAUAACAUUAACUGCAGCUAUGAAAUUUAUGAUUGAAAUUACCUGUUUGUCUUUUCUGUUUUCCAGGGAGGAUAGUGUGCCAGUAGUGGCAGCACAGCUCUUAUGGGAGAUAUACUUGGACCUGGUCAUCUUUAAAAAGGAGACAAGCUGGUCAGAUCUCUUGCCAGUAGGAUCUGGGACUCUGUCUGCUCCUCUCAUACAGGACUGCCUUAAACAUUGAGCUAUGAGAAGAUUCCUCUAAGUUCUUUCUUCCUCACUCAUUGAUUUACACAUCCUUCUGCAGAGACAUCUGCCUUCAGCGUGGUUUGAAGAAUAGGUCUUCUCCCCACUCACAGACUAUUCUCUAUGCAUUCCUCUAAGCAACAGGGCCUGUUUGGUCCAUAUUGGUCUUGGUAAGGUCACUUCAUAGACAGUUUCCCUCUCCUGGCCUUAUCCUCUAUCUGAUUAUUUUAAAUAGUGAACCUCUUCCAACAGAUUAUAAAAUGGACCAGUACUCACCCAUUAUCUUCAUGAAAGAAAGGUUGUGCCUAUCCUCUCUAGGGAGAGGCAAUUGGAUCUGGAAACAGAGGAUCUGCAACAUGGACUCAUGCCCUUGUGUUUUAGAAAGGAAUGUUUCUUUAAGCAAAUAAUCUGUGCUUACUCUUUAUUAACAGCCAGUUCUAACCAGAUCCAUGCCCAGCUUGACAUUCUGAAGAGUAUGUCUUCCAGCAGUGCUCCAUGGACCUGGGAAGCAAAUUCAGGUGUUUGGAUUCCACUCAGGGAAAAUAGCAGCUUGAAAGACAAGGACUGCAUGGUAUUAAGUUGCAGGGAGGCUGCUGGUGGUGGUUGUUGAAGGACAAAAUUCUGUUAGAAAAAUUAACAUACUUUCUGAUUAAUCAUUUGAUUUCUGAAUGAACAGAAAGAAAGAAGUCAAAUAGUUCUGAAGGGAUUUCAAGCAGACCAUGUAUGAAAAAUUCAGCAUCCUUGGCCUCCUUUUUGUUACCUUGAACAGCUGAGGUCCAUCAGAGAUAAUGUGCUCUGUCUCCAGAUAGGAUACCAUGUCACUGGCUGAUUCUUCAUUAAGGGAAUUAAUUGCCUUGUGUGACUGUAACCUGCUGUAAUAAGGCAGUGGUAGGUUAAUAUUGGAGUUCAAUUCAAAUAGCAUUUACAUACAUUGAAAAUGCACCAAGAAAGCAACAUAAUACUCCUUCCCAAAGUGGAAGUUAAUCCUCCCCAUAUAAAUGUAAGAUGUAAAUAAUGCAAACCUAAAAAUUGGUAUAGUAUUGUCUUAGGUAGCUAAAUACAACAUAUGGUAAAUAGGGCUGUACAGAUACAAGCCCAUUUAAAAUCCUCUUCAGCAGCAAGAUUCAGUUGUCAUGUUUUGUUAAGUCUUGUGAAGCAAAGGCAGAGCUUAUGCACACAUUCAAAGCAACAGAGGAUUUCCUACUAUGCCCCAGGAAAACUGAAAAACCAAACUAUUCUCUAAUGGAGUCAUGUUCUGCUGUAAUGAAAAAUGUGGUCUUUUUAGUAAACAGCUUUAAAGCUAAUUAAAGAGCAUCUUGGGCAACCUUAGCUUGUUUUUAAGAUACAACUGUUUUGGCAGUUUUAGCUGUCAGCUACUGUGUUUGUCCACAACAACAGCAAAUCAUGACAUAAUCUACUUAAGUGGUCUAGAUAGUUUUGAUGGGAAAGCUGUAACAAAAGGUUGACAACACAGCUGCUAGAUCUCAAUUUAAAUUCUCCAUCAGCACUACUAGAUGAGAGAUGGUCUAAAAUACUUGCUUUGUAGAAGAACUUACAGACCUAUUGUAAAGCAAUUUCCAUCCAAAAUGUAUUUUGGAGGAAGAAGGAAAAGCAAAACUUGUAUUUUGUAGUAACAUAAUAAAGGCUUGAAACAAAUAAUUUGCUUUGCUUUA
ensembl:lncRNA